rnacentral:rRNA from 1 species
UGUAUAAUGGGUCAGCGACUUAUAUUCUGUAGCAAGGUUAACCGAAUAGGGGAGCCGAAGGGAAACCGAGUCUUAACUGGGCGUUAAGUUGCAGGGUAUAGACCCGAAACCCGGUGAUCUAGCCAUGGGCAGGUUGAAGGUUGGGUAACACUAACUGGAGGACCGAACCGACUAAUGUUGAAAAAUUAGCGGAUGACUUGUGGCUGGGGGUGAAAGGCCAAUCAAACCGGGAGAUAGCUGGUUCUCCCCGAAAGCUAUUUAGGUAGCGCCUCGUGAAUUCAUCUCCGGGGGUAGAGCACUGUUUCGGCAAGGGGGUCAUCCCGACUUACCAACCCGAUGCAAACUGCGAAUACCGGAGAAUGUUAUCACGGGAGACACACGGCGGGUGCUAACGUCCGUCGUGAAGAGGGAAACAACCCAGACCGCCAGCUAAGGUCCCAAAGUCAUGGUUAAGUGGGAAACGAUGUGGGAAGGCCCAGACAGCCAGGAUGUUGGCUUAGAAGCAGCCAUCAUUUAAAGAAAGCGUAAUAGCUCACUGGUCGAGUCGGCCUGCGCGGAAGAUGUAACGGGGCUAAACCAUGCACCGAAGCUGCGGCAGCGACGCUUAUGCGUUGUUGGGUAGGGGAGCGUUCUGUAAGCCUGCGAAGGUGUGCUGUGAGGCAUGCUGGAGGUAUCAGAAGUGCGAAUGCUG